AGUAGGGAAUAUUGGACAAUGGGCGAAAGCCUGAUCCAGCCAUGCCGCGUGAGUGAAGAAGGCCUUAGGGUUGUAAAGCUCUUUUGGCGGGGACGAUAAUGACGGUACCCGCAGAAUAAGCUCCGGCUAACUUCGUGCCAGCAGCCGCGGUAAUACGAAGGGGGCUAGCGUUGUUCGGAAUCACUGGGCGUAAAGCGCACGCAGGCGGAUUGAUAAGUCAGGGGUGAAAUCCCGGGGCUCAACCUCGGAAUUGCCUUUGAUACUGUCUGUCUUGAGUCCGGGAGAGGUGAGUGGAAUUCCUAGUGUAGAGGUGAAAUUCGUAGAUAUUAGGAAGAACACCAGUGGCGAAGGCGGCUCACUGGCCCGGUACUGACGCUCAUGUGCGAAAGCGUGGGGAGCAAA
rnacentral:rRNA from 1 species